CGAAAUGGAGAUUCCUGGUCGGAAUAUUAUCGCUUUUUUACGAGAUAAAUUGCAUAAAAAUUGAUUUUAAACAGCGGUUGACAUUCUUCGAAGUACGGUAAUGGAAUAUUUAGAAUUUUUUUGUCACGAAUUGCGCCAUGCGCACGACCCUGAUUUACCAUUUCGGAUAGUGUCUGGGACGCACGAACAAAACGCCGCUAUUCGGAUAUAACGAUGGAUUAUUUUGGACCAAACCAACAUUUGUUAUUGAAGUAGCAGUCCUGGGAGUGCAUUCUGACGAAGACAAACAAAAGAACAGGUGCAGCAGGAUGCAUCCUAGAUCCCAGAGGAGACACACUGGACUUUGUGCAAACUGGAAACCGCAUAUCCUGAGGAAAACGCUCCUGAUAUUCUAUCAACACAUUUCCAUGUCCAACGUGAGUAAUUCAUUUAAGUGUGAUAACUUCCGCAAGGCUGUCGGCCCAGACAGCAUUCCAAGCCGCGUCCUCAGAGCAUAUGCACAACACCUGGCUGGAGUGUUUACGGACAUAUUCAAUUUCUCCCUAUCCCAGUCUGUUGUCCUCACUUGCUUCAAGAUGUCCCCCAUUGUUCCUCUACCCAAGGAAGCAAAGGUAACUGAAGUAAAUGACUAUGGCCCUGUAGCACUCACUUCUGUCAUCAUGAAGUGCUUUGAGAGGCUAGUUAAGAUUGAUGUCACCUCCACCUUACCCAAGACCAUAGACCCACUACAACAUGCAUACCGCCCCAACAGAUCCACAGACAACGCAAUCACCAUUGCUCUGCACACUGCCCUAUCCAACCUGGACAGGAUGGAAUACCUGUGUGAGAAUGCUGUUCACUGACUACAGUUCAGCCUUCAGCACCAUAGUGCACUCCAAGCUCAUCACUAAGCUCAGAGCCCUGGGUCUGAACCCAGGGAAACUGGGGUCCUAGACUUCCUGACUUCCAGGUGGUGAAGGUAGGCAAUCAGCCAUGCUGAUCUCCACAGGGGUGCAUGCUCAGCUCUCUCCUGUGCUCCCUGUUCACCCUUAACUGCGUGGUUACGCAUGUCUCCAACUCAAUCAUCAAGUUGCUGACAAUAGAACAGUGGUAGGCCUGGUUACCACCAACAAUGAGACAGCGUACAGUGAGGAGGUGAGAGCCCUGGCAGAGUGGUGCCAGGAAAAUAACUUCUCCCUCAAUGUCAACAAAACGAAGGAGCUGAUCGUGGACUACAGGAGACAUCGACAGGGCCACAGUGGAG
rnacentral:lncRNA from 1 species